GAUGAACGCUGGCUGUGUGCCUAAUACAUGCAUGUCGAGCGAAGCACUUUUGUGCUUAGCGGCGAAUGGGUGAGUAACACGUACUUAACCUACCCUCAAGAUUGGGACAACACUUGGAAACGAGUGCUAAUACCAAAUACGUAUUUUUAUCGCAUGAUAGAUAUAUAAAAGGAGCUUCGGCUUCACUAGAGGAUGGGAGUGCGCUACAUUAGUUAGUUGGUAGGGUAAUGGCCUACCAAGACUAUGAUGUAUAGCGGGGCCGAGAGGCUGAUCCGCCACACUGGGACUGAGAUACGGCCCAGACUCCUACGGGAGGCAGCAGUAGGGAAUUUUCCACAAUGAACGAAAGUUUGAUGGAGCGACACAGCGUGCAGGAUGAAGGUCUUCGGAUUGUAAACUGCUGUUAUAAGAGAAGAAAAACCCUGGUAGGUAAUGACCAGGACUUGACGGUACCUUAUCAGAAAGCGGCGGCUAACUAUGUGCCAGCAGCCGCGGUAAUACAUAGGUCGCAAGCGUUAUCCGGAAUUAUUGGGCGUAAAGAGUUCGUAGGUGGUUUUGUAAGUCUGAAGUUAAAUACCGGGGCUCAACCCCGGCCCGCUUUGGAUACUGCAAAACUAGAGUAAUAGAGAGGUUAGUGGAACUCCAAGUGAAGCGGUGGGAUGCGUAGAUAUUUGGAAGAACACCAAUGGCGAAGGCAACUAACUGGAUAUUAACUGACACUGAGGAACGAAAGCGUGGGUAGCAAACAGG
rnacentral:rRNA from 1 species